rnacentral:rRNA from 1 species
UUCGGCGUGCCUAAUACAUGCAAGUCGAGCGAGCGGAACUAACAGAUUUACUUCGGUAAUGACGUUAGGAAAGCGAGCGGCGGAUGGGUGAGUAACACGUGGGGAACCUGCCCCAUAGUCUGGGAUACCACUUGGAAACAGGUGCUAAUACCGGAUAAGAAAGCAGAUCGCAUGAUCAGCUUUUAAAAGGCGGCGUAAGCUGUCGCUAUGGGAUGGCCCCGCGGUGCAUUAGCUAGUUGGUAAGGUAAAGGCUUACCAAGGCGAUGAUGCAUAGCCGAGUUGAGAGACUGAUCGGCCACAUUGGGACUGAGACACGGCCCAAACUCCUACGGGAGGCAGCAGUAGGGAAUCUUCCACAAUGGACGCAAGUCUGAUGGAGCAACGCCGCGUGAGUGAAGAAGGUUUUCGGAUCGUAAAGCUCUGUUGUUGGUGAAGAAGGAUAGAGGUAGUAACUGGCCUUUAUUUGACGGUAAUCAACCAGAAAGUCACGGCUAACUACGUGCCAGCAGCCGCGGUAAUACGUAGGUGGCAAGCGUUGUCCGGAUUUAUUGGGCGUAAAGCGAGCGCAGGCGGAAGAAUAAGUCUGAUGUGAAAGCCCUCGGCUUAACCGAGGAACUGCAUCGGAAACUGUUUUUCUUGAGUGCAGAAGAGGAGAGUGGAACUCCAUGUGUAGCGGUGGAAUGCGUAGAUAUAUGGAAGAACACCAGUGGCGAAGGCGGCUCUCUGGUCUGCAACUGACGCUGAGGCUCGAAAGCAUGGGUAGCGAACAGGAUUAGAUACCCUGGUAGUCCAUGCCGUAAACGAUGAGUGCUAAGUGUUGGGAGGUUUCCGCCUCUCAGUGCUGCAGCUAACGCAUUAAGCACUCCGCCUGGGGAGUACGACCGCAAGGUUGAAACUCAAAGGAAUUGACGGGGGCCCGCACAAGCGGUGGAGCAUGUGGUUUAAUUCGAAGCAACGCGAAGAACCUUACCAGGUCUUGACAUCUAGUGUCAUUUGUAGAGAUACAAAGUUCCCUUCGGGGACGCUAAGACAGGUGGUGCAUGGCUGUCGUCAGCUCGUGUCGUGAGAUGUUGGGUUAAGUCCCGCAACGAGCGCAACCCUUGUUAUUAGUUGCCAGCAUUAAGUUGGGCACUCUAAUGAGACUGCCGGUGACAAACCGGAGGAAGGUGGGGAUGACGUCAAGUCAUCAUGCCCCUUAUGACCUGGGCUACACACGUGCUACAAUGGGCAGUACAACGAGAAGCGAGCCUGCGAAGGCAAGCGAAUCUCUGAAAGCUGUUCUCAGUUCGGACUGCAGUCUGCAACUCGACUGCACGAAGCUGGAAUCGCUAGUAAUCGCGGAUCAGCACGCCGCGGUGAAUACGUUCCCGGGCCUUGUACACACCGCCCGUCACACCAUGGGAGUCUGCAAUGCCCAAAGCCGGUGGCCUAACCUUCGGGAAGGAGCCGUCUAAGGCAGGGCAGAUGACUGGGGUGAA